CUACACCGCCAGAAAAAGUCUAGAUACCAAACAGCAGCAUCAGUAAUCUCUAAAAGAUGCGGAGUCACAAGUUUCGGAAGUUUACAUGGAUCUGUAAAAUUGCUUUCAUGGGAAGAUGAACGCUGCCGGAUUAAAGAAUUAUACAAACACACACGCAAGAUGUUAGAAUCCUUUACUCCAAAAAUUGAGAGUUAGACAGAGCCAAAAUGAACUAAACUGCUCCACAACAGCUGCCCGUCCCUCCAGGACCCGUCGGUGACGUCAGGGGCCAUAAGCGCCGUCACACAGGAAGUGACCGAGAGAACCAAAAUUAGGUCAAAUGAAAUUUUCAACAUUGGAAUUUAGAAGAACUUCAAAUACAUCUUUAGCUUAUCAAGUCAUUCGGACGUUUACACUUCCGCCUCGCUUAACAUGACAAUCAAACAUUUAGAUGAUCUUCAGCUGUGACAGGAAUCUCGCUUUCUCUUAUGAUAGAAAGCUACGGCACUUUUCUCAAUUUAUAUAGCUGGUGGCAAUGAUCUUAAAAUGGAUGGUUGCUUAAUGCAAGCCUUUCUACAUUAGCGGUGGAAAAUUAUCUAUCAAAUACGGAUAUUCCUUAACCGGGAUUAUUGAGAAAUUAAUUUGGUAUUUCAUUCUUCUUUAACUUUAUCUACUGUAGUUCCAACUUUCAUUGUAUUCCUAAGACACUUUGACGUCAUACAUUUACAGUAAACAAAACUUGUCUUCUCAAUGAUAAGAGCAUACAUCAAGCAUUAUGUACGGAAAUGUAAUAAAACUGUUAUUCGUACUGAAAUGAUUGAUCGGAGGGUAUACAUCAACACCAAAGACUUACACAGAGCCUUUGUCUAACGAAAUGAUCUGCCAUUCGCGAAGUCGUAGUUUAAGGUCUAUGAAGUUUUGCCAAAUGUCGGUUAUCAGAGUGUGAAUUAAGCUGACCUCAUACCCUUUAAAGCAAUGAUAUUGAAAAGGACCUCACUUAUAUUCAGGAAGUCAUAUUUUACAGAAGAUCCAUUUUUAAUCUGAAAAGGACGCCGUUUACAAUGAAUGCUUAGUGCAACCCUUGCAAUAAAAUAAGUCAUGUCUGAACACAUAACUAGCUGAUUAUGCAAAUAGCAAAAACAAUAUUUAUGUUAUAUACGAUAUCUUAACUUUCGUUAUCAUAUUACUUUUGAGAUCUAGGCAGUCGGCAUCUGAAAUCAGUGACGCAAUACCAACUGUGGACAUUCAGAAAAUAAAACCGAAAUUCUUACUCAAAUUCGAUAAGACGAUGGCAAACUAUGAACAAGAUGAUUACCAUUGACCUCUUUGAACACGAAAUACAAGACCAGGAGUGCCAGUGGAUGAGCGUCCUCUGCCUUAUCAAUGACAACUGCAUUAAUAAUAGAUGUCGCAUUAUAGCGUCUUAUUUACGUUGAAAAAAAUAGUAAUUUGCGUAUACAUUUACCUGGGGGUGAUAUGCAAAUAUAUCAA